GCAGUGGAUUAAGCCAUUGGUUGCAAUUCGCAACCUCACCACUAGAUGCCGCUAAAAUUUACACACUGCACCUUUAAGUUUAACGUAACAUCCAAGAGCGCUGAUCUUUGACGGAAUAGUCGCUUCCGAUUGGGAUUCACAGACUGAUUUACGAGCUAGUGAGCUAAUGAGACAGCGCGUCUGUGUUUGUCCGUGUGUGCGUGCAGUUUUUCCAUUCAGAGAUGAGCCUGUUUAAAGGACCUCCAAUCACUAGGUGGCGGAAUGAUAUGAAAGGUGAAGCGGUUACUGUGCCGUUAUCAGUAGAAUAUCGCAUAGCUCUUAGCCAAUCAGAUUCGAGAACCAGAAAGAACUGUUGUAUAAAUUAUAUAUCAAACAUGUUAAAGUGCACAGAAACCAUGCAACAGGAAGAAGCUGUUUUUCUCUUGGUUGAUGCAAGUUAUUUUUGUACAGUAUUGACACACUUUUACUCUUAUGAAUAUUGUACUUGUGAUUUCUAAAAGUUAUUUUUUUGUUUGUUUAUUUUGUGUUACAGGAAACUUCCACCUACAGUAAGCAGAUUUCCCUGCUAAGCACUCCAAGGCUCAUCAUGCUCGGAGAGUCCAAUCUGAGGGCAAAAAAUGGAUGCUUUCCAUCGAGUGCAGAGUUCUCCUCCAAUUGAGUGACGGUUGUGAUUUCACUUCUGCUCUAGCCUUUUUGCGUCAUACUAUGUAUGAGGCAGCCACUACAUUGGGAUUUAUACAGAGGGUAGAGUCCAGCCCAGAAAGUCAACUAGUUCAUGUCCAGAUUUAAAAGAAUAAUAGUUCUGAAAAAAAGGUCUUGGAGAAAAACAAUAUUCAGGUUUGAAAUCCUGCUGUAAAUGUAAAUCAUUUAAUUUUUAUGCAUUUGUAAUUUACCAGAAACAUUUUAAUAAAUAUUGAUUGUUUUGUAU